rnacentral:tRNA from 1 species
AGGCGCGUAGCUCAGAUGGGAGAGCGCUACCUUGACACGGUAGAGGUCAGCGGUUCGAUCCCGCUCGCGCCUACCA